rnacentral:rRNA from 1 species
ACGUAGGGUGCAAGCGUUGUCCGGAAUUAUUGGGCGUAAAGAGCUCGUAGGCGGUCUGUCGCGUCGGCUGUGAAAACCCGGAGCUCAACUCCGGGCCUGCAGUCGAUACGGGCAAACUGGAGUGUUGCAGGGGAGACUGGAAUUCCUGGUGUAGCGGUGAAAUGCGCAGAUAUCAGGAGGAACACCGGUGGCGAAGGCGGGUCUCUGGGCAACAACUGACGCUGAGGAGCGAAAGCGUGGGGAGCGAACAGGA